UAUAAAUUCCCACAUGAUUUCAGUUUGUC
rnacentral:piRNA from 1 species